rnacentral:lncRNA from 1 species
UCGCUUUGAAUCUGGUCGUUCAAUUGCGUUCGGGAGGGAGCACAUCUAGGCCGUCUGUGCACGCGGGAACGGACCUUAACCAUUCAAUCGCGCGCACGCGGAUCGCCCGCGUGGCCCCCCGCGUGGCCUCCUGCAUCAGCGCCUCUAUCACUUGGCGCGUCCUAGUUGGUCAGGACUGUUGGCUCAGCGUCUGACGUGGCAAAACUUUUCAAAAUUAUGUUUUGACCCCUAUUUUUUUAUUUUUCUUUCAAAAAUACCCACAAAACGCAAAUUUUCACCCAUUUUCUCCAAAAUUAUUUUCAAUUAAAUCC